rfam:Candida albicans SC5314 chromosome 3 sequence.
UCGAGUUUGGUUAGUUGCGCGUUCGGAACUUGUCAACUUUAAAAUUACAGAGAAAAUUAGCAUUUCCCCUGCAUAAGGACGGAACGCUUUACAAAGAGAUUUACCAUUUUUUU